CUGACAGCAAGGCUCUGGGGCCCAGGCAGGGAGAAUGCGGUCUCAGAAUGACGCCCUUGAAAGACGUGUUCCCUUUUCACCAAUGCACAGACCCAGAAGACCCCUCCGUCCUGCAGCCCCUGCCGUGAGCCUUGGGCUCCUGUGCUGUGCGGCCUUUUCUCUCCUGUGGGCAGGUCCAGUGAAUGCUGGUGUCACUCAGACCCCAAAAUUCCAGGUCCUGAAGACAGGACAGAGCAUGACACUGCAGUGUGCCCAGGAUAUGAACCAUAACUACAUGUACUGGUAUCGACAAGACCCAGGCAUGGGGCUGAGGCUGAUUCAUUACUCAACUGGUGAGGGUACCACUGACAAAGGAGAAGUCCCCGAUGGCUACGAUGUCUCCAGAUCAAACACACAGAAUUUCCUGCUCAGGCUGGAGUCGGCUGCUCCCUCCCAGACAUCUGUGUACUUCUGUGCCAGCAGUGAAGCCACAGUGCUGCACGGCCGUCUCCUCUCUGCACAGAAAGGCAGAGGAGGCUCUGCCCUCCUCCCCAGCCCAGACUCAGUGAUGCCCUUGGUCCUAGCACCGGAAACUUUGGAGCCCCAGUGA